ACCUGUAGCGCAAUGGAUAGCGCGCGUUGGGCUUCUAAUCCAAAGGUCAUGGGUUUGAAUUCCACCUGAGAUG